rnacentral:ncRNA from 1 species
GCCAGUGAGAUACUGGAGGAAGGUGGGGAUGACGUCAAGUCCGCAUGGCCCUUAUGGGCUGGGCCACACACGUGCUACAAUGGCAAUGACAAUGGGAAGCAAGGCUGUAAGGCGGAGCGAAUCCGGAAAGAUUGCCUCAGUUCGGAUUGUUCUCUGGAACUCGGGAACAUGAAGUUGAAAUCGCUAGUAAUCGCGGAUCAG